UACGAGAGGCCCAAACGUUAUUCGGAAUUACUGGGCUUAAAGAGUUCGUAGGCGGCAUUGCAAGUAGGGUGUGAAAGCCCUCGGCUCAACCGAGGAAUUGCGCUCUAAACUGUCGUGCUUGAGGAACCUAGAGGUGAGCAGAACAGAUGGUGGAGCGGUGAAAUGCGUUGAUAUCAUCUGGAAUACCGGAGGCGAAGGCGGCUCACUGGGAGUUUUCUGACGCUGAGGAACGAAAGCCAGGGUAGCGAACGGG
rnacentral:rRNA from 1 species